GAUGAACGCUGGCGGCGUGCCUAAUACAUGCAAGUCGAGCGAACAGACGAGGAGCUUGCUCCUCUGACGUUAGCGGCGUACGGGUGAGUAACACGUGGAUAACCUACCUAUAAGACUGGGAUAACUUCGGGAAACCGGAGCUAAUACCGGAUAAUAUAUUGAACCGCAUGGUUCAAUAGUGAAAGACGGUUUUGCUGUCACUUAUAGAUGGAUCCGCGCCGCAUUAGCUAGUUGGUAAGGUAACGGCUUACCAAGGCGACGAUGCGUAGCCGACCUGAGAGGGUGAUCGGCCACACUGGAACUGAGACACGGUCCAGACUCCUACGGGAGGCAGCAGUAGGGAAUCUUCCGCAAUGGGCGAAAGCCUGACGGAGCAACGCCGCGUGAGUGAUGAAGGUCUUCGGAUCUUAAAACUCUGUUAUUAGGGAAGAACAAAUGUGUAAGUAACUAUGCACGUCUUGACGGUACCUAAUCAGAAAGCCACGGCUAACUACGUG
rnacentral:rRNA from 1 species